GAUGAACGCUAGCUACAGGCUUAACACAUGCAAGUCGAGGGGAAACGGCAUCGAAAGCUUGCUUUUGAUGGGCGUCGACCGGCGCACGGGUGAGUAACGCGUAUCCAACCUGCCCAUCACUUGGGAAUAACCUUGCGAAAGUAAGACUAAUGCCCAAUGACCUCCCACGAAGGCAUCCGAAUGGGAUUAAAGAUUUAUCGGUGAUGGAUGGGGAUGCGUCUGAUUAGCUUGUUGGCGGGGUGACGGCCCACCAAGGCAACGAUCAGUAGGGGUUCUGAGAGGAAGGUCCCCCACAUUGGAACUGAGACACGGUCCAAACUCCUACGGGAGGCAGCAGUGAGGAAUAUUGGUCAAUGGGCGAGAGCCUGAACCAGCCAAGUAGCGUGCAGGAUGACGGCCCUAUGGGUUGUAAACUGCUUUUAUAAGGGAAUAAAGUGGGUCACGUGUGACUUUUUGCAUGUACCUUAUGAAUAAGGACCGGCUAAUUCCGUG
rnacentral:rRNA from 1 species